rnacentral:rRNA from 1 species
AUUGAACGCUGGCGGCAGGCCUAACACAUGCAAGUCGAGCGGAUGAAGGGAGCUUGCUCCUGGAUUCAGCGGCGGACGGGUGAGUAAUGCCUAGGAAUCUGCCUGGUAGUGGGGGAUAACGUCCGGAAACGGGCGCUAAUACCGCAUACGUCCUGAGGGAGAAAGUGGGGGAUCUUCGGACCUCACGCUAUCAGAUGAGCCUAGGUCGGAUUAGCUAGUUGGUGGGGUAAAGGCCUACCAAGGCGACGAUCCGUAACUGGUCUGAGGGGAUGAUCAGUCACACUGGAACUGAGACACGGUCCAGACUCCUACGGGAGGCAGCAGUGGGGAAUAUUGGACAAUGGGCGAAAGCCUGAUCCAGCCAUGCCGCGUGUGUGAAGAAGGUCUUCGGAUUGUAAAGCACUUUAAGUUGGGAGGAAGGGCAGUAAGUUAAUACCUUGCUGUUUUGACGUUACCAACAGAAUAAGCACCGGCUAACUUCGCG